UCCGGUAAUUCCGGUCUGGUAUGAAUGGGUAGACGAUAGGGGGGCUGUCUCUUUUCACUGUGUUGAAAUUAGUUGUCGGGUGCAGAAACUCGAAUUCUUGAGCGGGACGAGAAGACCCUAUAGAGCUUUAGUUUAUCUUGUAAAGUUUUUACAGGGAAAGUUUUAGUUGGGGCAACUGGUGGUCUUGUUAGACACCGUUUCUUUGUUUUACUUUGAAGUUUUUAUGACCUCGAAUUUUUGGUGUAUAAGAAAAAGUUACCUUAGGGAUAACAGCGUAAUUCUUCUUGAGAGUUCUUAUUAAUAGAGGAGUUUGCGACCUCGAUGUUGGAUCAAGUUUACCUGAGGGUGCAGCCGCUUUCAAGGGUUGGUUUGUUCAACCAUAAAAAACUUACGUGAUCUGAGUUCAGACCGGCGUAAGCA
rnacentral:rRNA from 1 species